rnacentral:rRNA from 1 species
GACGAACGCUGGCGGCGUGCUUAACACAUGCAAGUCGAACGGAAAGGCCCUGCUUUUGUGGGGUGCUCGAGUGGCGAACGGGUGAGUAACACGUGAGUAACCUGCCCUUGACUUUGGGAUAACUUCAGGAAACUGGGGCUAAUACCGGAUAGGAGCUCCUGCUGCAUGGUGGGGGUUGGAAAGUUUCGGCGGUUGGGGAUGGACUCGCGGCUUAUCAGCUUGUUGGUGGGGUAGUGGCUUACCAAGGCUUUGACGGGUAGCCGGCCUGAGAGGGUGACCGGCCACAUUGGGACUGCGAUACGGCCCAGACUCCUACGGGAGGCAGCAGUGGGGAAUAUUGCACAAUGGGCGGAAGCCUGAUGCAGCAACGCCGCGUGCGGGAUGACGGCCUUCGGGUUGUAAACCGCUUUCGCCUGUGACGAAGCGUGAGUGACGGUAAUGGGUAAAGAAGCACCGGCCAACUACGUG